AGUCGAACGGGAACAGGAAGGAAGCUUGCUUUCUUGCUGACGAGUGGCGGACGGGUGAGUAAUGCUUGGGAAUCUGGCUUAUGGAGGGGGAUAACUACGGGAAACUGUAGCUAAUACCGCGUAAUAUCUUCGGAUUAAAGGGUGGGACCGUAAGGCCACCUGCCAUAAGAUGAGCCCAAGUGGGAUUAGGUAGUUGGUGGGGUAAAGGCCUACCAAGCCGACGAUCUCUAGCUGGUCUGAGAGGAUGACCAGCCACACUGGAACUGAGACACGGUCCAGACUCCUACGGGAGGCAGCAGUGGGGAAUAUUGCACAAUGGGGGGAACCCUGAUGCAGCCAUGCCGCGUGAAUGAAGAAGGCCUUCGGGUUGUAAAGUUCUUUCGGUGAUGAGGAAGGCAGGUAAGUUAAUAGCUUACUUGAUUGACGUUAGUCACAGAAGAAGCACCGGCUAACUCCGUGCCAGCAGCCGCGGUAAUACGGAGGGUGCGAGCGUUAAUCGGAAUGACUGGGCGUAAAGGGCACGCAGGCGGUGACUUAAGUGAGAUGUGAAAGCCCCGGGCUUAACCUGGGAAUUGCAUUUCAUACUGGGUCGCUAGAGUAUUUUAGGGAGGGGUAGAAUUCCACGUGUAGCGGUGAAAUGCGUAGAGAUGUGGAGGAAUACCGAAGGCGAAGGCAGCCCCUUGGGAAUAUACUGACGCUCAUGUGCGAAAGCGUGGGGAGCAAACAGGAUUAGAUACCCUGGUAGUCCACGCUGUAAACGCUGUCGAUUUGGGGAUUGGGCUUUGAGCUUGGUGCCCGUAGCU
rnacentral:rRNA from 1 species